rnacentral:rRNA from 1 species
UACGUAGGGUGCGAGCGUUAAUCGGAAUUACUGGGCGUAAAGCGUGCGCAGGUGGUUUGUUAAGUCAGAUGUGAAAGCCCCGAGCUUAACUUGGGAACUGCGUUUGAGACUGGCAAGCUAGAGUCUGUCAGAGGGGGGUAGAAUUCCACGUGUAGCAGUGAAAUGCGUAGAGAUGUGGAGGAAUACCAAUGGCGAAGGCAGCCCCCUGGGAUAAGACUGACGCUCAUGCACGAAAGCGUGGGGAGCAAACAGGAUUAGAUACCCUGGUAGUCCACGCCCUAAACGAUGUCAACUGGUUGUUGGGCAACUUGAUUGUUCAGUAACGAAGCUAACGCGAGAAGUUGACCGCCUGGGGAGUACGGUCGCAAGAUUAAAACUCAAAGGAAUUGACGGGGACCCGCACAAGCGGUGGAUGAUGUGGAUUAAUUCGAUGCAACGCGAAAAACCUUACCUACCCUUGACAUGUACGGAAGUCUGCUGAGAGGUGGAUGUGCCUGAAAGGGAACCGUAACACAGGUGCUGCAUGGCUGUCGUCAGCUCGUGUCGUGAGAUGUUGGGUUAAGUCCCGCAACGAGCGCAACCCUUGCUAUUAAUUGCCAUCAUUAAGUUGGGCACUCUAAUAGGACUGCUGGUGAUAAACCGGAGGAAGGUGGGGAUGACGUCAAGUCCUCAUGGCCCUUAUGGGUAGGGCUUCACACGUCAUACAAUGGCCGGUACAGAGGGAUGCCAACCCGCGAGGGGGAGCCAAUCUCAGAAAGCCGGUCGUAGUCCGGAUUGUUCUCUGCAACUCGAGAGCAUGAAGUCGGAAUCGCUAGUAAUCGCGGAUCAGCAUGUCGCGGUGAAUACGUUCCCGGGUCU